GUGCUUGCUUUGGCAGCACAUAUAUAAAGAUUAGAAAAAUGCAGCGAUUAGCAUGGCCCCUCUACAAGGAUGACACACAAAUUCCUGAAGUGUUCCAUUAAUUA
ensembl:snRNA U6 U6 spliceosomal RNA